rnacentral:tRNA from 1 species
GCGGGAAUAGCUCAGUUGGUAGAGCAUAACCUUGCCAAGGUUGGGGUCGCGA